rnacentral:rRNA from 1 species
AGGAAAAAAAACCAACAGGGAUUCUCUUAGUAACGGCGAGUGAAAAGAGAAAAGCUCAAGGCUGAAUCCCAUUCAAUUUUAUUGUUUGGGAGGUGUGGCUGAGCUUUAUGCUCUAAUUGUAAUGGAAAUAUUAAUAAAUUUUGCUGGAAAGCAAUGCCAUAGAAGGUGAAAGCCCUGUAGUUAAUAUUGAAGUUAUUUUUAUUGUAGCGUAAAGCUAAAGAGUCGGGUUGUUUAGUAUCACAACCCUAAAAUGGGAGAUAAACUUCUUCCAAAGCUAAAUAUCCCACUGAAGACCAAUAGUAAACAAGUACUGUAAAGGAAAGUUGAAAAGGACUCUGAACAGAGAGUCAAAAGAACUUGAAACCGAUAAAAGGGAAACAUAUUCUUUCAGUAUU